rnacentral:lncRNA from 10 species
UCAGAACUUCUUGCAGCUACAAAGGAGACCACAACUCCACCAAACAAAUACACCUGCCCCAGAUUUCAAAUGGAAAGAACAGAGACUGUGUAAAUUUCAGUCUAAACCAAGAUGGCCCCGAGUUCCACACGGAGCACUGCAGGAGAGCAGUCUGUCAGCCUAAGUGACUGAGUCUGUCAGCCUAAGUGACUAUGUAUAGUGGAGAUGCUGAGCUGGACUGCAUGAAACAUUUAGGUUGAGAAAGCACUAGAAAAAAAAUAACAACAACUUCUGUUGCAUUAAGCCAUAGAAUGUUGGGGGUGUUGUCAUCUCAGCAUAACCUACCCUAUGCUGACAGAUACAAGUAAAAGAAAACAAAAUGCAAAAAAGAAGAAGUGGAAGAGUUAGAUAUUUGUAGACAAAAAGAAAACAGCAACAGUGAAUUUAGUCUACAGUAGACAAAUUUUGGGGCUUCUUGAUGGAUGUUUUUGGAGUUUAAUCUCAACUCUACCACUUACUAUCUGUGUGAUAUGGAGUUUCUUAACCUCCCUGAUCCUCAGUUCCCUCAUCUGCAAAACAGAAAAAUCAAGUGAUACUGACUUUCUGGAGUUGUUGCAUAGAUGAAAGUUAAAUGAGAUAAUUUAUGUGUAAGCACCUUACCUGUCAUGCUGUGGGUGCCCAAUGAAUGAUGAUUAAAUGAGUGAAUGAAUGGAAAGAAGUCACAGGUGAAGCCAGGAAGGGCAGAGGUGGAGGAAGCCAUGGAGUUAGAGAAUGCCUCCAAUUGCUAAGCAGGCCCUUGCUCUGAAUCUCCCAAGUCUGUCACUGUGCAUUGUAAUUUAGUAAAUCAUUUCAUGC